GAUGAACGCUGGCGGCGUGCCUAAUACAUGCAAGUCGAGCGAACGGACGAGAAGCUUGCUUCUCUGAUGUUAGCGGCGGACGGGUGAGUAACACGUGGAUAACCUACCUAUAAGACUGGGAUAACUUCGGGAAACCGGAGCUAAUACCGGAUAAUAGUUUGAACCGCAUGGUUCAAAAGUGAAAGACGGUCUUGCUGUCACUUAUAGAUGGAUCCGCGCUGCAUUAGCUAGUUGGUAAGGUAACGGCUUACCAAGGCAACGAUGCAUAGCCGACCUGAGAGGGUGAUCGGCCACACUGGAACUGAGACACGGUCCAGACUCCUACGGGAGGCAGCAGUAGGGAAUCUUCCGCAAUGGGCGAAAGCCUGACGGAGCAACGCCGCGUGAGUGAUGAAGGUCUUCGGAUCGUAAAACUCUGUUAUUAGGGAAGAACAUAUGUGUAAGUAACUGUGCACAUCUUGACGGUACCUAAUCAGAAAGCCACGGCUAACUACGUGC
rnacentral:rRNA from 1 species